CUUUCUCUCCCUGACCAAUCAUCGUCGCCUUCAACCACCACCUUCUCCGACAUCAACUACUAAUCAACCACCGUAGACCACCGUCAACAACCUCCGCCGUGCCAACACCACCAUCACCGUCUUGAACACCAUCCAUCAUCAUCUUGUACACCACUACCUUCAAACUACCCAGGUUACAUCCACCGGAAAUCACCCAACACGAACCUGAGCACGUCACCACAACAGAACCAUCUUCUCCAAAAAUAAAAAAAAUAGGAAAAGAGUAGAAAUCAGAAAUCAGAACCAUCUUCUCCAAAAAUAAAAAACCGGAGGUUGUGAGGAGGAGGAGGCGGCGACCGGCGGGAGGUUGUGAGGAGGAGGAGGCGGCGAGCGGUGGUGAGGAGAGGGAUGGAGGCGGACGCAUCAUCGGUGGCGAGGAGAGGGAGGAGGAGGUCGG
rnacentral:lncRNA from 1 species